UACGGAGGAGGCAAGCGUUAUCCGGAAUUAUUGGGCGUAAGGCGUCCGUAGGUGGCUAGUCAAGUCUGCGGUCAAAGACUGGGGCUUAACCCUGGAAAGGCCGUGGAAACUGACGAGCUAGAGUGCAGUAGGGGUAGAGGGAAUUCCCGGUGUAGCGGUGAAAUGCGUAGAGCUCGGGAAGAACAUCGGUGGCGAAAGCGCUCUACUGGACUGCAACUGACACUCAGGGACGAAAGCUAGGGGAGCGAAUGGG
rnacentral:rRNA from 1 species